rnacentral:rRNA from 1 species
UACGGAGGGUGCAAGCGUUAUCCGGAUUUACUGGGUUUAAAGGGUGCGUAGGCGGGCCUUUAAGUCAGUGGUGAAAGCUCCGAGCUUAACUCGGAAACUGCCAUUGAUACUAUUGGUCUUGAAUUCGGUCAAGGUUGGCGGAAUGUGUCGUGUAGCGGUGAAAUGCUUAGAUAUGACACAGAACACCGAUUGCGAAGGCAGCUAGCUAGACCGACAUUGACGCUGAGGCACGAAAGCGUGGGGAUCAAACAGG